AAAAGCACUCAAGAGGACCCCAGAGAAGAGACAGACAAGAAAGAAAAAAUGAAAAAGCAGAGAAAGGAGGGGAGGAAAUAGAUCUGCCAAGUUAAUUUUCUUUUUUGAACUUUUUUUUGGUCUUUCAUUUAAAUUCUUCCUUCAUAACUUCACCAAAAAAGGACAUAAAACUCAUCUUCUUCUCUUCUAUCUCCACCCAAAAAAUACAGCAACUUUCUUCCCUCGAAUCAGCUCCUCAAAACACGUCAAAACCGCCUAAAAUAUACGACAAAAUCCAGCCGCAAACCCAGCUGAAAAUCAGUCCAAAAUCUCACCUCAAAAACACCCAAUUCUUCCUUCAUAAAUAGCCAAAAAAAACAACAAUAGCAAAACAGCUGCAAAAAUGACUCAAAACACUGCCAAGAAACUCCUCAAAAUUCCACUUGAAACCAACAUGGAAAUCGGCCAAAACGCGGCUGAAAAUCAGCUGGGAACUCAGCUGAAAUCUGCUAUUGAAAUGCUCCAAAAAUCAGCCCCGAAAUAGCUCAAAACCAAUUGUUUUCAUCUAUAAAUCCAGCAAGGUCCGACUCUGUCACCUCAAUUUUGGUCGAGUUAGAAGAGGUCGAAGUUGGAGGUUUGGUUGAGUUCUCGAUGCUCCGGUCGUCAUUGCUUUUCAUUUCCAAAAUUGAAAUUGUUGGCUUUUCCGCACGUAGCAAAAGAUUUGUUUGGUUUGCUCUGUUUUCUUUGGUUUUACUUACUGAUUUUCAGUUUCCCUUUACUAGCUUACAACUGCAAUUUAAUAGUAAUAGUUAUGUGUAACAAAUCAGCAUGAUACGUCACAGGGCCCUAGGCGCAGCACCAAGCACCAGAGAGAAACAUCUACCCAAAUAUAUGGACCAUUAUGUGGUCCCAGAUCCCAAGAGAAUAAACCUCUGCCAAGCCGUUAUAGAAGAGGACAAAUGACAGUCUUGCACCGAGUAGCAUAAAUAGGAGAAGAAUCAACCAGAAAUGCUAGGGAUGAACUUGCUUAUAAUUCUUUAGCUUAGAAAUUAGAUCUGGAACCUCCCUUUUCUCGGUUUUUCCUUUCUUUUUUGCUCUAGUUACUCCCAAAAGUUGAGGAACAAACCCUCUUUGUUGUCUGGAGAUCAAUUUAUCAUCAAUAUAAUUUUGCUUGUACAUUUGGUGCUUCCAUUGACCCUCCCUCUACAAAUGGGUGAUGGAGCUCACAAUACCCGUUUGAAAUCACUAGAUGAAGCUGUUAAGAAACUGUAGGCUGACUCUGCUUCACAUACCAAUGCUUUGGAGUCCAUUAACACUGUUCUUCAGGACAUUGUUUCUCAGUUGGCAUCUAGGCGUCCAUCGUCGUCAGCACCGCCGCCGCUCACUACCAGCCCUCUUUCUUCUACCCCAGGUCCUUCUUCUACACCUUCACCACAUAUUUUUACCCAACUACCAAAUUCUGCUCCUACUUUAGCCCAACAACCACAACAAUAGAUUUAUCCAAUGACCCAACAACCAUUUAUGCCCUUUCGGCGUGAUAAACCAGCACCAAUUGAUUUGCCCAAGUUCGACGGUCUCAACGCUGAGAGUUGGACUUUGCAAGCUACUCAAUAUUUUGACAGGUAUCAUGUUGCCAAUGAGGACCGCUUGGACCUCUGUUCCUUCUUUCUUGAAGGCGAAGCAAGGGAGUGGUAGCAGUGGAUGUAUCGAAAUCGUCAGUUGUGCGGAUUGGCUCACUUUCUCAAAGCUGUUGUGUAUCGCUUUGGGACCAAGUCACUGGAAUCUCCAGAUAGCUUGUUGGCUAAAUUACAGAUGACUUCCUAUGUCCGUGAGUAUCUUUCUUAGUUUGAAAAACUUGCAAAUCGAACAAUGGAGAUGUCGCCACCGAUGCUCAAACAUUGUUUUACAUCUGGGCUUCACCCAGAUAUUAAAGCAGAUGUGUUGUCUUUUAGACCGAUGGAUCUUAACGAGGCCAUUGGGCUGUCAUUUUUGCAAGAAGAGAAACAUUUGGCCCAACCCAAAUUGUCACCCCGGCCCACUCCGUUUCAUAGACCCACUCCCCUCCCUUUCGCCCAUCACACUGCAGCUCACCCUAAACCAAACCAGCCCAUUUCCCAGUCAUCACCUUCUCCAGCUGCUUCUUUGCCCAGUGUUGGUCGCGUACCUUUCAAGAAACUUACACAAGCGAAACUACAACGCAAAUGUGACAUCAAUCUUUGUUUUAACUAUGAUGAAAAAUGGCAGAAGGGUCAUCGUUGUUCAUCUCAACCUAACUCUUUCUUCUCCUACUAGAAGAAGAUACCACCGAUGAGACUCCUUUAGACACCUCACCCCCACUUUCUGAUGCAUCUCCACCAGAUAAUCUCUGAGACAAUCCUUCCCUCCUUACCAUUAGUCUUCACGCUCUUGCCGGAGGUCUACAUCCGACUACCCUUCGAUUUACAGGUACUGUCAAAGGAAAUCCAGUUCAGGUUCUCAUUGAUGGGGGGGAGCACCCACAAUUUCAUCCAUCCCAGGGUAGCCAGAAAACUCAAACUACCCAUUGAACCUGCUUCGGAGUUUUCAGUGAUGGUGGGAAAUGUCCAAACAUUACGUUGUUUGGGAGUGAUCCAUGUGGUUUGUAUCACCAUUCAAGGAUACUCUUUUUCCACCACUUUCUUUGUUAUUGAUUUACACAAUUUAGAUUUGGUCCUGGGGGUGUAUUGGUUGGCCACUUUGUGGCCAAGCCUCUCUGAUUAUAUCAAAUGUACUUUUGAAUUUACCAUUUCUGGCCAGCACAUUCGUUGGGUGGGUGACCCUAUUUCUUCCCUAGCUCAGAUAAAUGUUUCCAUCCUUCGUCGUUUUUCCCAGACUAAUUCCAUUUCUUAUGUUUUGCGUUUGGACCUUCACUCCACCAAUACCACCUAUCUAUCAGAGUAUCCCCUGACUUGUCUUCACUCCUUGAGUCUUACCUUAAUGUUUUUCAGCCACCUACAUCACUUCCUCCAUCCAGAUCCCAAGACCAUCAUAUACCACUUUUACCAGGAGCUAGCGCAAUUAAUGUACGCACAUAUCGCUACCCCCAUUUUCAGAAGGCAGAAAUUGAGCGCCAGGUAUCCAAAAUGCUCAGAACGGGUGUCAUUCGCCCCAGCUCUAGUCCUUAUUCAUCCCAUGUUCUACUGGUUCGAAAGAAAUAUGGCACAUGGUGAUUUUGUGUAGAUUAUCGGGCUUUAAAUUCUAUCAUUGUGAAGGAUAGAUUCCCCAUCCCAACUAUGGAUGAAUUGUUUGAUGAGUUGCAUAACGCUCGAUUCUUCUCCAAAUUGGAUUUAUUGGCCGAUUAUCAUCAAAUCCGACUUCACCCACCAGAUAUUGAAAAGACGACAUUCUGCACUCAUGACGGGCACUAUGAGUUUUUCCGUCAUGCCAUUUGGGCUCUUAAAUACACCUUCUACCUUCCAAGAAACCAUGAACUCUAUUUUUAAACUAUUCUUUUGGCAGUUUGUUUUAGUUUUUUUCGAUGAUAUACUUGUUUAUAGUCAGUCAUGGGAUGCUCACUUGGCACAUCUUGGUUCUGUGUUUGAUAUUUUGCGCCAAAAUUCAUUGGUUGUCAAGCGUUCGAAGUGUCACUUUGGCCAAACUUCCAUUGCUUACUUGGGACAUAUUCUUUCUGUUGAGGGUCUUCAGGUUGAUCCAGAAAAAAUAGUUGCAAUACUCUCAUAGCCUAUACCUUCAUCAGUUAAGGAUGUGAGAGGCUUUUUGGGUUUAACUGGAUACUACCGCCGAUUCGUCAAAAGUUAUGCACAAUUAGCCUCUCCUCUUAUAUAUCUUCUAAAGAAAGAUUCAUUUAUAUGGUCAGAUGAGGCAUUGCUUGCUUUCACCAAACUAAAACAAGCUUUGAGUUCAAUUACAGUCCUCUCCUUGCCUAAUUUUUCUAAGGUCUUCACCGUGGAAACAGAUGCUUCUGGAUCAGGUAUUGGUGCAGUGCUUUCCCAGGAGGGUCAUCCGAUUGCCUUCUUCAGUCAAAAGUUGUCUUCUAGGAUGCAAGUUGCUUCCACUUACAAUAGAGAAAUGUUCGCCAUCACCCAAGUGGUGCAUAAAUGGCGAUAAUAUUUAUUGGGCCGUCGAUUCAUUAUCAUCACUAAUCAGCAACCUUUGAUCACUUACCAGUCAAGUAAUUCAAACUCCAGAACAACAACGCUGGCUCAGUAAGGUUAUUGGGUAUGACUUUGAGGCCCACUAUCGCCCAGGGAGAUUAAAUUUGGCAGUUGAUGCUUUAUCUCGCGUUCUUGCUCUUCAUGAUCUAUCAUUAGCGGUCACUAAAAUGGCUUUGGUAGACCAAUUACGAGCUUUAAACAAAACAGAUAAGGAUUUGAGGUCUUUACAAUAACAGUUGGUAAAGGAUCCAACCUCCUUACCUCACUUUUCAUUUCAUGAGGGUCUGCUUUUGUUUCGCAACCGCUUGGUGGUACCUAAGGAUGAAAAACUUCGCUCUUUAUUGCUCACUGAAUUCCAUCUAAGAUUGGGGUCAUGCUGGAGUUUCGCGCACAUUUCAUCGCCUUUCCUCCAAUUUUUUCUGAGAUAGUAUGAUAGCUGAUGUUCAAAAGUUUGUCAUGGAAUGCCAGGUUAGUCAACAAAUGAAGGAUUCUACUUUAAAACCGGAUGGUUUAUUGUCUCCUUUGCCAAUUCCAGAUGUGAUCUUUGAUGACAUUUCGAUGGAUUUCAUCACUGGCCUUCCAUCGUCUCAAAGUCGCACUGUUAUAUUGGUGAUUGUGGAUCGUCUAUCCAAAUAUGGCCACUUUAUUGCAUUACCAACUAAUUUCACCAGUCAAAAAGUUGCUGAAGUAUUUGUUCAUGAGUUCAUCUAUCUACAUGGCUUUCCGACAACAAUUGUUUCAGACAGAGAUCCUCUCUUCCUAUCUAAAUUUUGGAAUGAACUUCAUCAGCUGCAAGGGACUCAAUUGGCCAUGAGUUCCGCAUACCAUCCUUAGUCGGAUGGUCAAACAAAGGCACUUAAUAAGUGUUUGGAAAUGUAUCUCCACUGCUUUGCAUCCGACACUCCUUCUACUCGGCUUUCUCUGUUGCCGUGGGCAGAAUUUUGGUAUAAUACUUCAUACCACCACAGUUCUAAACUUACUCCAUUUGAGGUGGUGUAUGGUCGUCCUCCGCCAAUCGUUUCCCGGUAUAUCCGGGACAGUUCUACAAACCCUGUUGUAGCUGCUUCCCUUCGAUAAUGGGAUGAAGUAUUGGCUAUUUUAAAAGCCAAUUUACUCCAUGCCCAGGAUCGUAUGAAAUCCAAUGCUAACAAAGGUCGCAGAAAAGUGCAAUUUAAUGUGGGAGAUUGGGUGUAUGUCCACCUUCGUCCCUAUCGUCAGCUCUCAAUAUGCCUACAACACCACACCAAAUUGAGUAGAUGCUUCUUUGGUCCCUUCCAGAUUGUUCGGCGAGUGGGUGCAGUUGCUUAUAAACUGGCACUUCCUCCUUCAUCCAAAAUUCACCCUGUAUUCCACGUUUCAGUCUUGCGAAAAUGUUUAGGCAAUCCAUCUUACCAGAUCACCCCAAUAGACCUUUUGGAUCAAUCUUCUUCCUUGGUUCUCCUCCCAGAAGAUGUGUUGCAAUGUAGAACCAUUUCUAGAGGGGGACAACAGAUCCACCAAUGUCUUACCAAAUGGUUAGGCCUCCCAGUUUCAUAUGCCACCUGGGAAGAUUCUCAAACUCUCCUUCGUAAGUUUCCUGAUCAGAACCUUGAGGGUAAGGUUCGUCUCCACGGGAGCGGCAUUGUAACAAAUCAGCAUAACACGUCACAUGGCCCUAGGCGCAACACCAAGCACCAGAGAGAAACAUCCACCCAAAUAUAUGGACCAUUAUGUGGUCCCAGAUCCCAAGAGAAUAAACCUCUGCCAAGCCAUUAUAGAAGAGGACAAAUGACAGUCUUGCACCGAGUUGCAUAAAUAGGAGAAGAAUCAACCAGAAAUGCUAGGGAUAAACUUGCUUAUAAUUCUUUAGCUUAGAAAUUAGAUCCGGAACCUCCCUUUUCUCGGUUUUUCCUUUCUUUUUUGCUCUAGUUACUCCCAGAAGUUGAGGAACAGACCCUCUUUGUGGUCUGGAGAUCAAUUUAUCAUCAAUAUAAUUUUGCUUGUACAUUUGGUGCUUUCAUUGACCCUCCCUCUACAAAUGGGUGAUGGAGCUCACAAUACCCGUUUGAAAUCACUAGAUGAAGCUGUUAAGAAACUGCAGGCUGACUCUGUUUCACAUACCAAUGCUCUGGAGUCCAUUAACACUGUUCUUCAGGACAUUGUUUCUCAGUUGGCAUCUAUGCGUCCAUCGUCGUCGGCACCGCUGCCGCCCACCACCAGCCCUCUUUCUUCUACCCCAGGUCUUUCUUCUACACCUUCACCACAUACUUUUACCCAACUACCAAAUUCUACUCCUACUUUAGCCUAACAACCAUUUAUGCCCUUUCGGCGUGAUAAACCAGCACCAAUUGAUUUGCCCAAGUUCGAUGGUCUCAACGCUGAGAGUUGGACUUUGCAAGCUACUCAAUAUUUUGACAGGUAUCAUGUUGCCGAUGAGGACCGCUUGAAACCUUGUUCCUUUUUUCUUGAAGGCGAAGCAAGGGAGUGGUAGCAGUGGAUGUAUCACAAUCGUCAGUUGUGCGGAUUGGCUCACUUUCUCAAAGCUGUUGUGUAUCACUUUGGGACCAAGUCACUAGAAUCUCCAGAGAGCUUGUUGGCUAAAUUACAGAUGACUUCCUUUGUCCGUGAGUAUCUUUCUUAGUUUGAAAAACUUGCAAAUCGAACAAUGGAGAUGUCGCCACCGAUGCUCAAACAUUGUUUUACAUCUGGGCUUCACCCAGAUAUUAAAGCAGAUGUGUUGUCGUUUAGACCGGUGGAUCUUAACGAGGCCAUUGGGCUGGCAUUUUUGCAAGAAGAGAAACACUUGGCCCAACCCAAAUUGUCAUCCCGGCCCGCUUUGUGGUCUGGAGAUCAGUUUAUCAUCAAUAAAUUUUGCUUGUUACAUUAUGGCUUUAGAUUCUAUGUGUGUGUUUCAAUUAUCUCUUAGUUAGAUUAGUUGGACAAGGUUUUAUUGUAAUUGAAUGUGGUUUAGAAUUCAGGAAGGUUGGUUCGAUGUUCAAUGGGUGGGUCAACGUAUAGUCUAGUAAAAUGGAAGUGCAUCGAUGGUUUAAUUUGAAGUUGGGUCAUUUGGGUUA